UUCACAUUGUUUAAAUAUCCUUUCAUUACGGUUACAGGUUCGUAUGAACUUAUUUUUAUAAUACUCUCAUCACUUGUAAUUGUUAAAUUAAUGCAUUUCGCAAACCUACAUAAUGUUAGUGAUCUGUAAGUAUAUUUUGGAUAAAUUUGUUUCUCAUUGAAUGUAAACAUUACAAUUUACAUGUUAGGCUAAAGGCAUCUUUUUGUUUUGACUUUUGUUACGUACUGAUUUGAAAGUGAAAGUAGAAACCCUGUAUAGUAUAGCAAUUGGCGUUUUGUAUGUUGAGAUCGUUUAUCAAGUCGAUUCUUUCAUCAACUUAAUGACAAAUGUUUGUUUUUAUGGCCUAUAGAUGCAUUCAACUUGAGUUCAGUGUCAAAGUGCAGCUUUUUUAUGAAGUCCACGAAGCCCAAAGCUGAUAAGACUGGCGAUUGAUCCUAAAGCUGAUUCUGACAGACGAUUGCAUCAUCACAAUAUUAAAGGUUCAAUAUACAGUCAGCCUCUCAUAAGUAAAAAUCCAAAGAUCCAAGGCUUGCUUUAAAGUUAAGAGACCAUUCUGUGCCACAAAGAAAUUGUUUAGGAAGGGGAGAACUGGUGCAUUCGCAUUUUUGGUACAGUUCAAAGGGAUUUUCAAAAUUGUCAGAUCAGAGGGAGGACAACUGAAAAUAUUGAAAGAUACAGAUGGAAAAAGAACAAGGAAAUAUAUGGAAUAAUUAUGAAAUGGGGAGGAUGUACACAAUUUUGUCUGAAUUUGUCCUGUAAAGAUUUUCCAUUCUUAUUUGUAUGCUGGAAUAUCAAAUAACUUGAUUUUUUAUAAAUUUACAAUAGAGAAUACAUGACAAAUGUUAUUGCUGAUAUUUCAAUUUUGCUGUGGACACUUUCAUGUCAUAUGGUAUUUUUAUACAAGUUCAUGACCUAAUAAUGUUAUUCAUUUGUACAUGUCUACACAUUUAACUACUCAAUCAUUUUGCUGAAAUCUUAUAAUUUGUACUCAUUUUAGAAUAUGUUAAAUACAUGUAUCAACAA